GAGUUCUGGGCCGCACGCGCGCUACACUGACGGAGCCAGCGAGUUGACCUUGGCCGAGAGGUCUGGGAAAUCUUGAGAAACUCCGUCGUGCUGGGGAUAGAGCAUUGCAAUUUUUGCUCUUCAACGAGGAAUUCCUAGUAAGCGCAAGUCAUCAGCUUGCGUUGAUUACGUCCCUGCCCUUUGUACACACCGCCCGUCGCUACUACCGAUUGAAUGGCUUAGUGAGGCCUCCGGAUUUGUCUAGUGCUGGGGGCAACCUCGGCGCGGGACGGAGAAGCUGGUCAAACUUGGUCAUUUAGAGGAAGUAAAAGUCGUAACAAGGUUUCCGUAGGUGAACCUGCGGAAGGAUCAUUAAAAUUAAUUUAUUACAUUGUUUUUGAAGCAAACACUAAUAACCAUUAAUAUUCAAUAACUUAGAAAAAUCAAAACUUUCAACAACGGAUCUCUUGGUUCUCGCAUCGAUGAAGAACGCAGCGAAUUGCGAUACGUAUCAUGACUUGCAGACGUGAAUCAUCAAUCUUUGAACGCACAUUGCGCCUUGAGGUAUUCCUCAAGGCAUGCCUGUUUGAGCGUCGGCUCCCUUCAAACCCCCGGGUUUGGUGUUGCCUUCCGAAAUAUCACAGUUGUUGCAAUACGUUACUUCAACUUUAUUCUUUCGCCCUCAAAUCAGGUAGGACUACCCGCUGAACUUAAGCAUAUCAAUAAGCGGAGGAAAAGAAACCAACAGGGAUUGCCUCA
rnacentral:rRNA from 1 species